rnacentral:tRNA from 1 species
UCCCUGGUGGCUGAGAGGUUAAAGCGUCUGCCUGCAAUGCGGGAGACCUGGGUUCGAUCCCUGGGUUGGGAA